rnacentral:misc_RNA from 1 species
GAUGAAGAACGCAGCGAAAAGCGAUACGUAAUGUGAAUUGCAAAUUCAGUGAAUCAUCGAGUCUUUGAACGCACAUUGCGCCCCCUGGUAUUCCGGGGGGCAUGCCUGUCCGAGCGUCAUUGCUGCCCUCAAGCACGGCUUGUGUGUUGGGCCCCGUCCUCCGAUCCCGGGGGACGGGCCCGAAAGGCAGCGGCGGCACCGCGUCCGGUCCUCGAGCGUAUGGGGCUUUGUCACCCGCUCUGUAGGCCCGGCCGGCGCUUGCCGAUCAACCCAAAUUUUUAUCCAGGUUGACCUCGGAUCAGGUAGGGAUACCCGCUGAACUUAAGCAUAUCAAUAAGCGGAGGA